GUAAGUUGUUUAAUUCAUGGUCCAGUCCGGCCUCAACCAACCGCCUGUGCUUGUUUUUUUUUUUUUUUUCGCUAAGGUGUUUUUUUUUUUUUUAUAACUAACUAAACUAAAGAACGAAGAAUAGCUUUUUUCUUUAAAGCCUUUGUAUGGUUUCUUUGGAGGGGCUUGGCCCAUUUUGUUAGUUGUAGGGUAAUGCCUCCCAAGACGAUGAUUGUAAGUUGACUGAGAGGUUGAACAGCCACAUUGGGACUGAGACCCGGCCCAAAUUCCUACGGGAGGCAGCAGUAGGGAAUUUUCGGCAAUGGAGGAAACUCUGACCGAGCAACGCCGCGUGAACGACGAAGUACUUUGGUAUGUAAAGUUCUUUUAUCAAGGAAGAAAAGCAAGUGGUGAACCAUUUGUUUGCCGGUACUUGAUGAAUAAGCCCCGGCUAAUUAUGUGCCAGCAGCCGCGGUAAGACAUAAGGGGCAAGUGUUAUCCGGAAUUAUUGGGCGUAAAGGGUGCGUAGGCGGUCUAGUAAGUCAGUGGUGUAAUGGCAACGCUCAACGUUGUCCGGCUAUUGAAACUGCUAAACUUGAGUUAGAUAGAGGCGAGUGGAAUUCCAUGUGUAGCGGUAAAAUGCGUAAAUAUAUGGAGGAACACCAGAGGCGUAGGCGGCUCGCUGGGUCUUAACUGACGCUGAGGCACGAAAGCGUGGGGAGCAAACAGGAUUAGAUACCCUGGUAGUCCACGCCGUAAACGAUGAGUACUAAGUGUCGGGUUAAACCGGUACUGAAGUUAACACAUUAAGUACUCCGCCUGAGUAGUACGUACGCAAGUAUGAAACUUAAAGGAAUUGACGGGACUCCGCACAAGCGGUGGAUCAUGUUGUUUAAUUCGAAGAUACCCGAAAAACCUUACCAGGUCUUGACAUGUUUUUGCGAAACGGUAGUAAUAUCGUGGAGGUUAUCAGAAACACAGGUGGUGCAUGGUUGUCGUCAGCUCGUGUCGUGAGAUGUUAGGUUAAGUCCUAAAACGAGCGAAACCCUUAUCGUUAGUUGCCAGCACGUUAUGGUGGGGACUUUAACGAGACUGCCAGUGAUAAAUUGGAGGAAGGUGAGGAUCACGUCAAAUCAGCAUGCCCCUUAUGACCUGGGCUACAAACGUGAUACAAUGGCUGUUACAAAGGGUAGCUGAAACGCAAGUUCUUGGCCAAUCCCCAAAAACAGUCUCAGUCCGGAUUGAAGUCUGCAACUCGACUUCAUGAAGUGGAAUCGCUAGUAAUCGCGAAUCAGCAGUCGCGGAUUUAGGUUCCCC
rnacentral:rRNA from 1 species